GGAAAUGUGGCUUAGUGGUAGAGUGCUUGCCUAGCAUGCAUGAAGCCCUGGGUUUGACUCCUCAGCAUCA
rnacentral:tRNA from 1 species